GAUGAACGCUGGCGGCGUGCUUAACACAUGCAAGUCGAACGAAGCACUUUUACAGAUUUCUUCGGAAUGAAGUUUUAGUGACUGAGUGGCGGACGGGUGAGUAACGCGUGGGUAACCUGCCUCACACAGGGGGAUAACAGUUGGAAACGGCUGCUAAUACCGCAUAAGCGCACAGUACUGCAUGGUACGGUGUGAAAAACUCCGGUGGUGUGAGAUGGACCCGCGUCUGAUUAGCUAGUUGGCAGGGCAACGGCCUACCAAGGCGACGAUCAGUAGCCGACCUGAGAGGGUGACCGGCCACAUUGGGACUGAGACGCGGCCCAAACUCCUACGGGAGGCAGCAGUGGGGAAUAUUGCACAAUGGGGGAAACCCUGAUGCAGCGACGCCGCGUGAGCGAAGAAGUAUUUCGGUAUGUAAAGCUCUAUCAGCAGGGAAGAAGAAAUGACGGUACCUGACUAAGAAGCACCGGCUAAAUACGUGCCAGCCGCCGCAGUAA
rnacentral:rRNA from 1 species